rnacentral:rRNA from 1 species
GAUGAACGCUGGCGGCGUGCCUAACACAUGCAAGUCGAACGAACGGACGGUAAGCUUGCUUCUUUGAUGUUAGCGGCGGACGGGCGAGUAACACGUGGAUAACCUACUUAUAUGUCUGGGAUAAUUUCGGGAAACCGGAGCUAAUACUGGAUGAUAUUUUGAACCGCAUGGUUCAAAAGUGAAUGACGGUCUUGCUGUCUCUUAUAGAUGGUUCCGCGCUGCAUUAGCUAGUUGGUAAGGUAACGGCUUACCAAGGCGACGAUGCAUAGCCGACCUGAGAGGGUGAUCGGCCACACUGGAACUGAGACACGGUCCAGACUCCUACGGGAGGCAGCAGUAGGGAAUCUUCCGCAAUGGGCGAAAGCCUGACGGAGCAACGCCGCGUGAGUGAUGAAGGUCUUCGGAUCGUAAAACUCUGUUAUUAGGGAAGAACAUAUGUGUAAGUAACUGUGCACAUCUUGACGGUACCUAAUCAGAAAGCCACGGCUAACUACGUG